rnacentral:ncRNA from 1 species
AUAGAUAGAGGUUGCGUGAUUCAUCAGUAACCAUCCAGAUGCGGCAGGCGCAGAGGAAGGCUGGCGAAAGGGGAGAGCGCCGAAAGGAUACCUGUUCUGUGCAGUUUUCUUUGGGCAUACAUUUAAGAAAUGUAUAACUGUCAUCUUAGGAAAGAUGGGGCGCUAUCG